rnacentral:rRNA from 1 species
GAUGAACGCUGGCGGCGUGCUUAACACAUGCAAGUCGAACGAAGCACUUCAUAAAGCUUGCUUUAGGAAGUGACUUAGUGGCGGACGGGUGAGUAACGCGUGGGUAACCUGCCUUACACAGGGGGAUAACAGUUAGAAAUGACUGCUAAUACCGCAUAAAACAGCAGAGUCGCAUGACUCAACUGUCAAAGAUUUAUCGGUGUAAGAUGGACCCGCGUCUGAUUAGCUUGUUGGUGGGGUAACGGCCUACCAAGGCAACGAUCAGUAGCCGGCCUGAGAGGGUGAACGGCCACAUUGGGACUGAGACACGGCCCAAACUCCUACGGGAGGCAGCAGUGGGGAAUAUUGGACAAUGGGCGAAAGCCUGAUCCAGCGACGCCGCGUGAGCGAUGAAGUAUUUCGGUAUGUAAAGCUCUAUCAGCAGGGAAGAAAACGACGGUACCUGACUAAGAAGCCCCGGCUAACUACGUG